rnacentral:rRNA from 1 species
UACAGAGGGGGCAAGCGUUGUUCGGAAUUACUGGGCGUAAAGGGCGCGUAGGCGGCCUUCUAAGUCGAACGUGAAAUCCCCGGGCUCAACCCGGGAACUGCGUCCGAUACUGGAAGGCUUGAAUCCGGGAGAGGGAUGCGGAAUUCCAGGUGUAGCGGUGAAAUGCGUAGAUAUCUGGAGGAACACCGGUGGCGAAGGCGGCAUCCUGGACCGGCAUUGACGCUGAGGCGCGAAAGCCAGGGAGCAACGG